ACAGAGGCCCCGAGCGUUAGGCGGAAUCACUGGGCUUAAAGCGCGCGUAGGUGGUUUGGUAAGAUGGAUGUGAACUCCCCGGGCUCAACCUGGGAACUGCAUCCAUAACUGCCUGACUAGAGUACGGUAGAGGGUGGUGGAAUUUCCUGUGUAGCGGUGAAAUGCGUAGAUAUAGGAAGGAACACCAGUGGCGAAGGCGACCACCUGGACUGAUACUGACACUGAGGUGCGAAAGCGUGGGGAGCAAACAGGA
rnacentral:rRNA from 1 species